rnacentral:lncRNA from 1 species
CGUCCGGCAACCACCGCCGGCGCCUUGGUCCUCUCCGUCGUCGUCUUCCUCUUCUCCGUCGCCCACGCGCACAACAUCACGCGCAUGCUGGCAAGCACCCUGAGUUCUCCACCUUCAACCACUACCUAAGCUUGACCCACCUUGCCGCCGACAUCAACGACCGCACCACCAUAACCGUCUGCGCCGUCGACAACUCCGCCAUGUCCGCCCUCCUCGCCAAGCACCUCUCCAUCUACUCCAUCAAGAACAUCCUCUCCCUCCACGUCUUGCUCGACUACUUCGGCGCCAAGAAGCUCCACCAGAUCACCAACGGCACCGCCCUCGCCGCCACCAUGUUCCAGGCCACGGGCUCCGCCCCGGCUCCGCCGGCUUCGUCAACAUCACCGACCUCAAGGGCGGAAAGGUCGGAUUUACCCCGAGAGGCGCUCCUUCGCCGCGCAUUUCGUCAAGUCCGUCGACGAACUCCCCUACAACAUCUCCGUCAUCCAAAUCAGCAACGUCCUCCCCUCCGCCGCCGCCGAGGCUCCGACGCCUGGCCCCGCCGAGGUCAAUCUCACCGGGAUCAUGUCGGCCCACGGCUGCAAGGUCUUCGCCGAGACGCUCUUGGCCAACCCCGACGCGUCCAAGACCUUCAACGAAGCCGUCGACGGCGGGCUGACCGUGUUCUGCCCCGGCGACGACGCUUUCAAGGGCUUCCUGCCGAAAUACAAGAACCUCUCGGCGCCCGGAAAAGCUGCAUUGCUGGAGUACCAUGCCGCUCCGG